GGGGAAGUAGCUCAACUGGUAGAGCAUUAACACAUGGUGAAUUGAUCAUAGGUUCGAGGUUCGAAUCCUAGCUUGUCCA
rnacentral:tRNA from 1 species